rnacentral:misc_RNA from 1 species
UUGAAUUUUAAUGAAGAGCUUGGUUGUAGCUGGCCCAUUCAUUUGGGCAUGUGCACACCUUCCUCUUUCAAUCCCACACACACCUGUGAACCUGUGAGACAGAGAUGGGGAAUUUACUUGCUGCUUUUUGGAAUACAAAGGCAAUAGGUUAUUGGACCCCCCCUCUGUCUACUCAAUUAAUAUAAACUCAAUUUAUUUUAAAACGAAUGUAAUGGAUGUAACACAUCUCAUAC